ensembl:scaRNA
UUGACAUUUAUUUUUAUUCAGUUUCUUCUCAAGGUGAAGAUAACUCUCUGUUAAUGUCCUAAAGAAAUACAUUAUAGUAGCUUUCUAUUCACCUGUUAUAAGUAAAACGGGUGGUAUGUUCCACUACUGACAUAC